CCGCUCUCAAAGUGGUUGUGAAAUGCGUCCUUUGUGGGGUAUCCAAUUCGCAUAUCACAGCCAGCUUUGAAGAGCGCCA
rnacentral:pre_miRNA from 2 species